CCUACGGGUGGCAGCAGUGAGGAAUAUUGGUCAAUGGACGCAAGUCUGAACCAGCCAUGCCGCGUGCAGGAAGACGGCUCUAUGAGUUGUCAACUGCUUUUGUAUGAGGGUAAACGCAUAUACGCGUAUCUGUCUGAAAGUAUCGUACGAAUAAGGAUCGGCUAACUCCGUGCCAGCAGCCGCGGUAAUACGGAGGAUUCAAGCGUUAUCCGGAUUUAUUGGGUUUAAAGGGUGCGUAGGCGGUCGGAUAAGUUAGAGGUGAAAUCCCGAGGCUCAACUUCGGAAUUGCCUCUGAUACUGGUCGGCUUGAGAGUAGUUGCGGUAGGCGGAAUGUAUGGUGUAGUGGUGAAAUGCUUAGAGAUCAUACAGAACACCGAUUGCGAAGGCAGCUUACCAAGCUACUUCUGACAUUGAGGCACGAAAGCGUGGGGAGCAAACAGGAUUAGAUACCCGGGUAGUC
rnacentral:rRNA from 1 species